rnacentral:rRNA from 1 species
CGGACGGGUGAGUAACACGUGGAUAACCUACCUAUAAGACUGGGAUAACUUCGGGAAACCGAGCUAAUACCGGAUAAUAUAUUGAACCGCAUGGUUCAAUGGUGAAAGACGGUUUUGCUGUCACUUAUAGAUGGAUCCGCGCCGCAUUAGCUAGUUGGUAAGGUAACGGCUUACCAAUGCAACGAUGCGUAGCCGACCUGAGAGGGUGAUCGGCCACACUGGAACUGAGACACGGUCCAGACUCCUACGGGAGGCAGCAGGC